UCCUACGGGGGGCAGCAGUGAGGAAUAUUGGUCAAUGGGCGGAAGCCUGAACCAGCCAAGUCGCGUGAGGGAAUAAGGCCCUACGGGUCGUAAACCUCUUUUGCCGGGGAGCAAGGGCGGGGACGUGUCCCGGCCCGGAGAGUACCCGGAGAAAAAGCAUCGGCUAACUCCGUGCCAGCAGCCGCGGUAAUACGGAGGAUGCGAGCGUUAUCCGGAUUUAUUGGGUUUAAAGGGUGCGUAGGCGGGCUUUUAAGUCAGCGGUAAAAAUUCGGGGCUCAAACCCGGCCGGCCGGUGAAACUGGGGG
rnacentral:rRNA from 1 species